CGGACGGGUGAGUAACGCGUGGAUAACCUGCCUCAUACAGGGGGAUAACAGUUAGAAAUGACUGCUAAUACCGCAUAAGCGCACAGGACCGCAUGGUCUGGUGUGAAAAACUCCGGUGGUAUGGGAUGGAUCCGCGUCUGAUUAGCUGGUUGGUGAGGUAACGGCCCACCAAGGCGACGAUCAGUAGCCGACCUGAGAGGGUGGCCGGCCACAUUGGGACUGAGACACGGCCCAAACUCCUACGGAAGGCAGCAG
rnacentral:rRNA from 1 species